GGACAUGGCUAUCCGGUCCAAACAAGAGCUGCAACCUCAACCAGCAGGACACCUCCAGCAGUUUGCUGAGUGGAAACUAUGCCAGGGCCUUUGUUGUUGCCUUAUUUAGAGGAGCUAAGUGGGGACAACUCCCAAGAGGCCCAGCUGUGUGACAGGCAGUGCCCUGCAGCCCACUGGCACUUCUUAGAGCCCAAAGCUAAUUGGCUUCUGUUUAUUACCGCCCAGUGUGACAACAAAGAAGACUCCAGGGAGAUAAAGAGGCCCACAGAGGGAAGGAGAAUGCUUUCUGCCUGGCGGCCUCCACUAAGGACACCUUGUCGGGAAGCCACUACAACAUGAACAGCUUCUUUGACAAUGAGACAGGUCAUUUCCUGGCAGCACCCCACCCACCUCAAAGAAGAUGAUGAGCUUCGAAGAACCUCCAUAUGGAGAUGGCUUCAAAUGUGGCAAACAAGCCACUCGGAUAAAGAAAAUAGCCUCGCUUCACAACAGACAACUUCUGCCAAAAAUGGGCAAACUUAAAUGCAGGACAAGUCGACUGCCGAACUCUGCCAAGACAGGGGUGUGGAAACUCAGGUGGAUACCUGAAAGACUGACUUGACCCGUGGAAGAUGGACGAAGAAGGCCCUAAGUGUCUGCAGGGGCUAGACCUGAGGAAAGGAAAGUGAAUGGGGGUGAUGGAGUCAUUGAGCCAUGAAAAAGAGUCUCCUUGUCAGCAAUGAUUCAGAUGAAGAAACUAGUUGACUGAGGGAAAAGAGUUGAAGUCUUGGUGGAAGGGUGUUGUUUCUUGCUGUGUUGUCGCUAUUGAAUACGUCUGUUACUGGUGACAUACUGUUCCCUAGGCAAAGAUGGUCACAUGACAAUCGAGGCACUGAUGUUCAGGCUUUGCAUGAUGAACUAUUUAGCAAUCAGCCCUGAAAUUUAGAUAAAUUCCCCCCUUCAUUACUGUGCAAAACCUAUCAAAGAUUUUUGGUCAUUAUUUUUCUAAUUUUAAUUGGGCUCUAAAAUGUGGUCCAUAGGAAUUUCUUUGGGAUUUUUUAGUUGGUUAUGUGGAGAAGCAUUAUAGCUUUGAGACUGAUUUGCUUCUGCAUGUCUUCUUUGAAUUUUGACAUGUAUACUUUGAAUUAAGAAGGGGAGGGCCUGUGGGGAAUUAUGGUUUUGGCCUGGCAUACAGUUGGUAUGAGAAGCAUGUGCCAGUGGACUUUUAGUUUAGAGACCUUAGCUCCUGAAGCACUGUGUCCCUUUCAGUGUGUCCCAACACUUAAAGAACUCCCUCAGACACUUGAACAUUCAAGCCACCUGUGUUCUCUGUCUUCCCUAGAAGUCAGGAAGACAUCCAGAAGCUUGGCAAACAUUUAAUUAAUUAGACAUUAAUUCUGUGUACCCUUAUAGCUUGCAGAUGUCAUUGUAUCCUGGCAAUUACAAUUGUAUUCUCUCUGGAAACUUCCAUCAUAUCCUGCUUCUGAUAAUGAUGUUAAAAUUCUUGUUGCAUGCUAUAAAUUUGUCACAUCCCUAAUUUUCAUGUAGCCCCUCUGACCCGUGCCUAAAAGAUGAAAUAUCCUUUGACCAUAAUCAGGUAUCACUGGCUUGGUAAGUAAGUGCUGAUGUUUACACCAAGACAAAGAACUUUUAAUUCCACUAAGGCUUGCUGAAAUUUACUGAUUCUAUUUUGAAGCCCCAACCCCUUCUCAUUCACUGCCCUUUCCUAAAUCAGUCACCCACCUCCACAUCCAUCAUGGUAGUCAGAACAAGGGAAUUAUUAAAAUAGAACAGGCACAUAUGAAGAAAUGACUCAGGGAGUAGAGGCUAGCACAUAGGCACAUGAAUCUGCAUUUAAAUUUUCAUCUCUGACCUCCCCCCAUAAACUCUGGGUCCCGUACCCCUUUUCCCAGGUACCCUUUUUCCAACUGGAGAAUGUCUUUCCCUGCUAUUGGAAACAAACGGUAACUUCUGCUGAAGGCAGUCUAGUCUCUUUCUGCCUUCUCCCUUUCUAUAUUGCUUUUUAAAUAUAACAGCAUCCAUGGAGUUAAACCUCCCUACCCACCUCUGAAAAGCCCACCUCUUCAGUCAUACCACAUAAAAGACUGCAGAUGUCCAAACUGCAUCAGCUAAUUCUCACUUACACUCAUGGUGUUUAGGAUGGUACUAGAAUAAGGGUCUUUAACAUCCUGUUUUUAUAGAGCCGUCAAUUUUCUUCACGGUUACUGAACAUCCAAACAUGGUUUCUAUGAACAGGUUCAAAGUCUUUUCCUGACCUCACUUAAAAUGACAUCUCUACUUCCAUUGUCAGUUAUCCAUGACUUCCACUUCCGUAAGAAAGAAAGACAUUUUUCUCAGUGAAUUAUAUAAGAUCCGUAUUACUCUGCUGUUGAGUUUUAGAAACUCCAUCUUACAUAAUGCCUGUUGCUCAACUGAACUCUCCUUGUUUGCCGCUGCUCCAAUGCAUUAUGCUCAUCAGAGCCUAUGAAACACCUGGUCAGUCCCUCACAUCCUGUUCCUGAGAUCUAUGUUUCUAAACAACAACUACUUACCAAUUAGGCAUCUGCAGUAAGAGGCUUCAUUUUUAACAAAAUAAUGAGAUGUAAAAAUAGAGUUUCUGCUGUCACUCUAAACCAUGAAACCUUCUGAAAAUCAGACCCUGUUUAAAUGAUGCUUGACAGACAAUGUGAUUUCGCAAGGUUCAGUUUACACAGAGAAUAUAAGAGAAUCUUCUGGAGUUCAAAGACAAAUGAAAUCAAUUCCAUUGAAUUUAUUUAUUUAUUUUUAAUCAAAGAAGGAAAAAAUGGCUGGAACACAACACAACAUGGCUGGAAACAAUGACACAUCUUCAACACCAGCACUUGGAAUGUGUGACUCUGUUGCAUCUAUUCAAUAGGCCAUAAGAUUACAGAAUUAUAUUGCAUAAUCCUAAUUUGAUUCUUACAUCCCCUUAUGAAAAAAUUCCUAAUUCUGGACGUACAUUUUAUCCAACAUGAACUAUAUUCUUUGAAAUUCAUUUAUUAUAUGGUGCUUUCAGAUUUGGAACCCAUAUUUACUUAUUUUCAGAAAAUCCAUUGGGUACUCCAAUUUGAUUCAUAUGUGGAAUGAUUGUGAAAUAAUAAAUGCCAUUAAACUCUGGAGUCUUAAAUGAUUCACUAGUGAUAUAUUGCUGCAGUUAGAUAUAGCACUAUUUUUUAACAUCUAUGGAGAGAACUAUUGAAAUAUUUCUAGGUAUUAAAAAAUUAGGUUUUGAAUACUUUGCUGGUAUUUGUGACUUUUAUCUUAAAACACAUAUGAAGCUUUGUUUAUAAUGCCAUAUUUUUACUACAUUAAAACUUUGUGUAUUUAUGAAAACAUCACUUUAUCAAUGGAUUUUUUUCUGUUUUAUAGUUUGAGCUAAAUAUUUAUCAAGUUUAUUUUCAGUAGACUCAAAUCUGUUUUGAUGUCUUGUUUUUCCUACUUUGGUGAUCAUGGAACUAUAAUCAAUUUUUUUCUCAAGAUAUUUUCUCAACAAUCACAACUUAACUCCUUUGCUUCUAUUAUUAGUGUUUUGUUGUUUCUUUUCUACUGUACAAUGUAUGCUUCAAGUAUAGAAUUCUUUCUCUGACUUAAGGCGUAUGAUAUGUGUUUCAUUAACUAAUUUAUGUAAGAAUAACCCUUCUUUUAAAAAAAUAUGCUUUCCUUAUUCUACAAUAUUAAAUCAGUGAUAUUUUAAUUUUAUUUUUAAAAUUGUUAUCACAUUUACA